rnacentral:rRNA from 1 species
AUUGAACGCUGGCGGCAUGCCUUACACAUGCAAGUCGAACGGCAGCAUGAUCUAGCUUGCUAGAUUGAUGGCGAGUGGCGAACGGGUGAGUAAUACAUCGGAACGUGCCCUGUAGUGGGGGAUAACUAGUCGAAAGAUUAGCUAAUACCGCAUACGACCUGAGGGUGAAAGUGGGGGACCGCAAGGCCUCAUGCUAUAGGAGCGGCCGAUGUCUGAUUAGCUAGUUGGUGAGGUAAAGGCUCACCAAGGCGACGAUCAGUAGCUGGUCUGAGAGGACGAUCAGCCACACUGGGACUGAGACACGGCCCAGACUCCUACGGGAGGCAGCAGUGGGGAAUUUUGGACAUUGGGCGAAAGCCUGAUCCAGCAAUGCCGCGUGUGUGAAGAAGGCCUUCGGGUUGUAAAGCACUUUUGUCCGGAAAGAAAUGGCUCUGGUUAAUACCUGGGGUCGAUGACGGUACCGGAAGAAUAAGGACCGGCUAACUACGU